UAUAAGAUAAAGGGGAGAUUUGUCAAAAUGGGCAUAUUUGGGAAGGGAUCUUCGGAUUUAGGCAUUAUGUGCAGUACUAAUGUACAGUUGCCAUAUUUUCACCGAUUUAUGCCGAGAUUACCCUUACUUCAAUGGGCGUGAGUUUCACCGAUUUAUAACAUUUGUUUGUCGAUCAAAAGACAUCAAUAAAAUACAUAAUGAUUAGUCGAGAAUAAAGUGAGAAGCUCUUCAUUCUUCUUGAUAUGUUCAUGUAUGUCUCCCUGUGUUACCUGAACGUAUUUUUAAAAGUAGCUUAAACAAAGGAGAUUAUAAGAGAAAGAAGCAGGAACGAAGUAAAACACCUCCCAGUAAUGGUGAGAUUAAUGCAUUGUCGUACCUUCAAAACAGUU